rnacentral:lncRNA from 1 species
GUAGCUUCGCUCGCCUCCUGCAGUUGGCGAGCAGAGGAACACCUCCACCUACUACAGAGCAGCAUCACAAGACCACCCCAAAAGAAACAAAGAACAUAUUAAGUGAUGGGAUUUCAGGCUCACCAUGAUAAUAGUGCCACUUGGGUCUAUAGGCAUGAGCAUUUCCUUGCUUCAGAUCGCCUGCAUUAGCAUGGUAAAAUAAUAACAUGCCAGUUAGAAUGAGACACUACCGAGUUGUAAUAUAGCCAUGAUGAGAUCCAGUCUUAGUAAACGAUGGUCCAGGUGUAGUUUUUGGUUCUCAGUAAAGAAAAAUUAUCAGCAAAAGAAACCUAUUUUUGAUGAUCUGCAAAGUCUAAACUGAACCAACUUGGAAUUCUGGAUGCGGGGGUGCAAUGCAACUGAAGAAUAGCAGCACAAUAAAAUCCAUUACAAUGUAGAGAUCCAUAAAAUCUUUUUAUUCUUUCUAGAAAAUAUAGAAUUAUCCAACAUGUGGAACAGCUGAAUUUUUAAACUUAAACUGAGAUCAAAAGUAAAGGUUCAGUCUUUUCAGUUUCUGUACUAAUUCAGUUUGUGCACUAAAAUUCAUUUUCUGCACUAAAACAGAGUACAUCUAAAGAUUCAGUUUCUGAACUAUAGAAAGUUUGUGAAACAGCUGAAUUUUUAAACUUAAACAGAGAUCAAAAGUAAAGGUUCAAUCUUUUCAGUUAAACAGAGAUCAAAUAUACAAUCCUUUCAGUUCAAUAGAGAUCAAAUGUUCAGUUUUGGCUAACAUACUGAUCACAUGUUCUCAAUUAUUGCCCUAAGGCAGAUUCAUAUGAGUUCUUCUACAUGAACAGAGCACAUGUUCAGAUCAACACAAACAGGAACAAAACCCUAGGCAUGCUUCAAAAAUAAGCCUCGAUACCAUAAUUUCACAUCAUUCCAUUGUCAUAUACAUGAACGCCACAACAGAGCUGACGCAAUCAACCUUGAUCAUAGAUGGGAAACUGAUUAAAGCAUUGCGCUAAUACAAACACCUACAUUUCUGUGAUCAUGAAAGCUUACCUUGAUGCUUGAUAGAUUCAAAAACUUGUCUGUUAUAAUGUACUGUAGUUGUAUACCAAACUUCUGUUGUUAUUCUGUUCACUCUAGUUAAUAACCCAGACCUGAAUUCUAUACUCUCUCACCCAAUAUCAGUACCAAAGCUCUCUCUCUCUCUCAUUUUCUAGUCAGUACAGAUGCAAACCAACAUUAGUACAAAAGCACUACAUCUCUCUUCUGUUCUUGCUCACAUCUUAUUUUCUCGGGGGUUGGGCUUCGCUGCUGUGUCAACUCUCCUUGUCGUUGGAUUGGAUCUCGAUUCAACAACUGCCCAUAUGCAUAUUACUCUUCCCUUCUGUCCACAAAAUAGAGAACGUCACAUACAUCAAACAAUUAUUCUGCAAUGCUGAACAAUGCCCAAGCACAUGCUCUAGGGCUAAAUUUCCAAGUAACACAUACAUGACAGCAAAAUUCAAGAAAAUUGAACUGUACCUAGCAACAGAACCGUGGGGCAAAUUAACAGCAAUCCCUCAGUGACUCGUGCAGUAAACUGAACAUCAAAGGAUUGUGAAAGCAACCUUUGAAGCUGAUUUAAAAAUCAAAGCCAUAUUGACUCGUACAGUAAACUGAACAUCUAAAAGGGGAUGAUGCUGCUUGGACAUAACACAAGCACACCUCAUGAGAGAGAUAUGUCAGUUCUAGUUAUUGCUUUUUCCCAUACACGAAAAGAAAUAUUGCAUCUACAUAUGAAAGAUAAGAUCAACUGCUUUCAGCACAUGGAUCAAAUCAACAACAAGCUAUAACAAACUUCAACAUAGGCCAGCAGUGAAACAAUAGGGGAUUUUUUUACCAAAAACAAUAACAUCAAGCUGCUACUUGCCCCAUGGCUUGUAGAAUUAAUUAGGAACUUGAUUCAUACCUACUGCAGGCGAACAAGAAGCAGUGCACGGGCAUGGAGGUGGCAGAGCUUCUCCUUCCUCUUUUCCUCCUGCUCCAUUCUUUUUCCACAUCCGAGGAACAACAUCCACGUACCAAGAAAUGACCCUGGCAUGAAACCCUAGCCACCACAGUGUGCAGCCGAGAAAGCCAAGAAAACGACCCUGGUUAAUUGUCCAACAGAAAAAAUCAAGGAAUGAUGGAGAGGGGAAUUUGGUAGUGCAAGAGAGGGCGAUUUUAUACCUACUCUGUUGACCCCGACUGCCGAAGAACACCGCCAUGGUGGCAUCGAGCAACCACGCGUCGCAGGACCAGAGG